ACCAGCAAAUCGGAGUGAACCGGAAACGUGAGAGAAAAAGAUACGAGGAUGAGUAAUGCAGCGGCGAGCCACCGGAAAACGACGGUCGUACUGGGGUUUGCGGUCACCGCAGCGGUGGUCAACAGUCACGCUCAAGUGUUGGCUAGGGUUUCGGUUGCCGUUUCAGGCAGAAACCGAUGGUGACGGCGGUUAGGGUAUCACAACAGUGAUGAAGAUGGCUUCAAGAGGCUCCAGUUGUGAUUGAUCUCUGUUUAACUCCGGCAAGAAUUCCGAACUCCAGUGAAUAUUCUAAUUUUGCAGCUCUUGAUUCGGACGACUAUGGCGACUGUUGGAGGUAUAAGUGACCCCAAGGGAGUUCACUUCAGAACAGAACGAUUUCGACAAGCUUCUUCAAUUUGCCUUCAUGAAGGUGGUUGUAGGUACAAUGUAUUAAAUUGAAAGGGUAGCAAAUGAUGGUUGUGAGAAAAAAAACUUAUGAAGCUAUAGUUUGAUGGAAGCCCUAGAUGAACUCCACCAGCUACACCACCCAUUUUGAGGUGAAAGGAUGUUAGAAACUCGGGCCCUUGUCUUAGUUGAUGGUGGACUUUGUUGCGAUGGAUGCGUUUGAUAGGUCUUCAACAUCGGCAUUGCAAGUCUUCAACACGGACGACACCCGAUUGGUUAAUAAUUGAGUUUAGGUUUCCAUUUUAUUAAAAAAUUGUCUUGUCCCAGCAAUGAAGCGCGGGUGGAAACCACCAACGAAUAAACUUUAAACAAUGUGAACUACCAAAUGAUGUUGGAUGAGGUUUAGCAAAUGCUUUUUGUACAUACGGCUUUCCCGCCGCAACGCGCGGGCGGGUAUAAACCUAGUUUGUUUAAAGAACAAAACGUAUUCACCUGCUAUUUGUGUAAUACGCACGGGUGCUUGCUCAUUC
rnacentral:lncRNA from 1 species